ACUGAUGUAGCUCAGUAGUAGAGCACUUGCCUAGCAAGCACAAGGCCCUGGGGUUCUAUUCUCAGCAUCAAAA
rnacentral:tRNA from 1 species